CGUACAGCACAUCUGGACGUGUGACUGACAGCUGUGCUCUGACUCUGUCACAGGCUGACGUGUCGGCUGCAUGUCCCGUCGACCUCCUGACCUCUGGUGACACUCGGUAAACAGAUGCUGCAGAUGACUGUACUGGGACUUAUGAGCUGGGAACCAAUGGGACCACAGCAUGAAGCCCCACCGACCCCAAGUCCAGACUUCUGCUCGGAUCAGGGCCUCUCAGGUGGGAGGAGCCUGGCAGCAGCUCGCUACACCAAAACAAAGAGUCGAGAACCAAUGAGAACGAUUUGCUGCUUGAAGGAAAGAACAGAACUAAACCUGCAGGAAACUGAAACUGACUGAAAACCCAGAGGAGACAAAGUGUCUCCAGCAGAACCAGUUUGAGUUCCAUGGACCAGAGGAAAAGAGGCUGCUGGUUCUAAUCUGCAGCUCCUCCAGGUGACCACAACUGAAGAGGAAAUUCAUCUUCACUCUUUUCAUUACAUUCCUGGAGAACAUUUCCCCUCAACAUAAGACUGUGUGAAACAACCUUAGCUAAGGAGAAAUUCAACCUUAAGUGUCACAUUUAAAACGUGUGUCUUCUUCCACUGCUGCUUUCACGAAUCAUUCAGGAUGUCAGAAGUGGAUGGGAGGUUUCUCUGAGGUCAUGUGAUCGGACUAAACAGCCUCAUGUCUCCUGUUUCUUCUCUCUGAAGCCGAGUCUCCAGUGUCCUGACGGAGUCUCGUCCUCUUCAAUGCUCCGUCUGUCUCGCCUUCACGUGGCCACAGCGAUCCCGGGCCUCUCGCCUGUCCUGCUCCCAUUGUCCCUCGGCUACAGGAGGAGGGACCGAAACCAACACUGCCGAUCCCGCUCGGAUUCAAUAUGGCCGAGAUCUGACACCAUGUGAAGCGCCGACCCGCCUUCUCUCAGAGGGAUCCUGUUGCUCAGGUGCAGCUCGCCAUCGGACAGGAGGAGGAGGGGGGACAGGAGGAGGAGGGGGGACAGGAGGAGACAGGAGGGACAGGAGGGGACAAAGAGGAGGACGGAAUCCCUGACGCACUGAAGUCAGAGGUUCAGCCGCUUCACCUCCCGGACGAGGAAGUUAAAUGUUUCCACACCGGUUCAGCCUCUUCAACACUGAAGCUGAAACUCAACAGAAGGUGAAAGUUACAAGCUGAAGUUCUAUGUAACGACCAGGAAGCAGGUGAAGACAUGUCCAACAGGUGGAGACGGAGACAUUACGAUUAAGAUGCAUUUAUUUGUCCCAAACACAGACACUCAUGCAGGUAGGGAAAUUUAAUCUCUGCUUUUGACCAUCUGGUGCAGGACACACAGAGCAGUGAGCAGCCAUGUACGGCGCUCGGGGAGCUGAUGUUGGGGGAGUAAGAUGCCUUGCUCAGGGGCACUAGACAGGGUAGGGAGACUCUUGGAGUUUUGGACAGAUCAAUCCAGGUUCGUCUUUUUGUUGUUUCUCCGUGGAGUCGAACCAGAGACCUUCUCUGCCCAUAGUCCAAGUUUCUGCCACUAGUACACCGCCUCUCCUAUGACAUGUUCAACAGGUGGAGACGGAGACGGAGACAUGUCCAACAGGUGGAGCUGUGUGGGUCCGAAGACUGAACCUGAAGUGAGGCCAAUCAUCUGGUGAGGUGAAGGUCAUGAACCCGUCCUUCUCCAGGUUAGCAGAUGGGACAUGUUUGUCCAAGCUGGUUUCUGUUUGGUAUUCAUAUACAGAUGAGGUUCUGCUGAGUUUGGAUCCAGUCCACACAUGGUGUCUGUUACUGUUGGACUUUGCAGCUGAAGUUUGUUGAAGGUCUUCAGAGGUGAUGAACCUGAGGAAACAGGACGAGGUGACGGAGGAGACACGUCCAGCUCCUGGGAAAUAAACAUGGACGCUAGUCAGGAUGAACUGUUCAUGCGACCACACGGACGUUAACCCUCUGCUGCUAACAGCGCUAACGUUAGCUUCAGUCUGAGACUUGUCAAGUGAAAAUGUCCUGAUAACAAAAGUCAAACUGGUCCUCAACAUACAGCUGAGCAGAUCUGAGGCCGGCAGCCUUCAUCACAGAAUAAAAGCUGGAGCCGCCCGUCAGCGUCCGAACAUCUCCUGCGAGGCGUAGGUCAUGUAGAGGAAGCCGUCCUCGUCCUGGUGGUCCUUGUACACCUGGGCCAUGGUGAGGGACAUGCUGCUCAGCCCACUGUUGUUCACCAGCAGGUAGAAGGCCUGAGUGGGCAGCAGAGCCAUCCUGUUCCUGUGGGGGGGGGCAGAAUACAAAGGGUGGUCAUCAUCCACAAGCAUCACGGCCUCGCCGACGCCACGACGCACACGUGUCCCACAAUGCACUUUGCACUAACCUCAGUGCAAAGACUGUCGAGAAGAUCUGGUUUAAAACUGUUCAAUUCAAAACCGACUGAGUUUAAAACUCGUACAUAUGAGUCAAACUACAUUUACUCAAACUACUGAUAUUAUGAAGCCUUUUUCCACAUGAAUGAACCACUGACAUGUUCCUGACAUGUUCCGUGUGGGAGAACAAACGUCUGAGUCAGUGUCUCUGGACAUGUUCUGGAUCUUCUCCUGCAGCCUCCUGGUAACAUGUGUGUAACAUGUCAGAGUGAGUCCAUGUGAGGAACCAGCAGGACAAUGUGUGGAAGCUUCCCAGUGAGCGAGUGGACGUGUUGAUGAGGUUUCUAACACGUGACGUGAAACAUGAAGAACACAAACAUCUCAGGAUGAAGAAGAGGAGCCGGACACGUAGAAGAUGAAGACGUCAACUUGGAAACACGAGGAGAUUCCAGAUCUUCUGGUGAUGAGGGCCGACGCCGGUGUGGAUGAGAUGUAAACAACAACACUGAUCUGUCCACAGCAGAGUUUAUACGUCAUGUCCCGCCUCCUGCUGCUCUACAGGCUCCGCCCCUGCUGCUCUACAGGCUCCGCCCCUCACCUGGAGGUGACAUCAGGUGUCACAUAUGUGACACUUGAUGUCACCAACUCCUUCACACUAAAACUGUAGCUGUACAUAUCCAUGAUGGACACAUUUUGAUGAGACGUGUUUUGGCGCCCCCUCUGGUCUGACACGGUACUGAACCACCAGGCUCAGACAGAUUCAUCCCAGGUCAAGACUUUUAAACUCCUCCAAUCUGACAUAUGUACUUAGGGUCUAUGGUUUAUUAUAUUUUAAUACUUUGGUUAAAUUUGUUCAUACAAUUUAUGUUCCAUUUAAUGUUAUAUUUUGCUCGUGUAUUAUUUGGAGCAUUGCUAGAAGGGAGCAUGUGACCUGAGCAUUUCACUGCCAGCGACUUCUAAAUGAAACCCUCACAUGACAAAGUCUUCAAUGACCAGCUUACCAUUGAAUAACAUGGCCCAUACGUUUCAUACAAGCCAGAGAAUUAUUAAUAAAGUUUGAACUCAGAGUUUCAGGGUUUGACAUCCGUCAUUACAACAUUGAGAACUAAAAAUAAAUUAAAGUUUAAAUUACCAUUACGGGAAAAACCCUUCAUAUACAUCUAUGAAAACACAUUUAAGUUGAACGUUUUUCUUAUCACAACAAAUCAAAUUUUGUACUUCUACAAUUUUUUAGAUUAAUUGUCACUUGUUGGCUGGAGAAACUUGUUUUAAGUGUUAAACCAACUAAUUAUUAAUUUAAAUAUUUGAAAUUGGGGUUAAUGUUCAACCCUAAACCGCUCAACACAAA